AUUAACGAUUAAAGUACAGAGCAAAAGUAUAAAUUAAAUUGAAUAAAUGUGUAAAAUGCAAUUAAACACACUGACAUGAGUACUUGUUUAUCUUUAUAGGGCAACCACAUUUCACCGCCUAACAAAUUUUACCACACAGCGCAGGACAUGCCUGCAUGUAUCAGAAGUUUCUGGAAUGUUAUCACUGGUUGCAUCCACUGUCUGUCACACAACCUUGUGUAAUUUGAUUGCAUAUAUGCACGAAGCGAAUAGUGUAGAACUUUGUGGAAGACACGCAGGUCCCGGCGAUUACUCUAGAACGUUCGAUGACUGAUGUAUAAAAGCCAAUGCACUUGACUCGCUGAUCAGAUUUUGAUGAUCGCCGACUGUGUUCGCCACUGUCGCCGUUCUUUAAGUGUGGCCUCUUCUAGUGGGCAUAGGUUCGCCGAAUAAAAUUUAGUUUUAUCUUUCACGGUAUUGCUACUGUGUUCUUUAUACGUCACUACCAUGUGACGUCUGGCAGAGGUGCUUUUCGUUCAUGUACCGGACGCCCCGACAAGCCGUGAUCCAAGCCCGGACUGCAAAGAGUACAGCAACGUAAUCCCGGACCAUCAAGCAAGCCGCCGGCUACAACAGCUGCCCCUGGAGCACGGACUUCUACCUGAGAUGACCAAGAAGAUUGUGGCCAAGACAACCCAAAUGGCAGCUGCAGCGUCCCUCAUUGUUCUGCAACAGCCCAGAGAGCCACUGACUUUCCAUGCAUCAUCGUCUGAAGACCCAGAAACUUGGCUGGAGACCUAUGAACGAAUCGCGACUUUCAACAACUGGGACUCUGACGACAAGCUGCGGCAUGUAUACUUGAUGAUGAUGUGUGGUGUUUUAUGGCGCAAGGGCCAGGUUUGGCCAAAGAGCGCUAUGACAAGUGGUAAUGUUGACGAUGUAUUGUGGAUGACAUGCACAAUGAACUCAUAAUGGUAGAUGUGAUAUGGCUGUAAAAGGGCCUAAAAACUUACGCUGUAAGUGGCGUAGAAUAUAUAGGUGCUAAAAUAAUGACGGUGACUAGGAUGUGAUGUGGGCUAUGGCAAUGGGCUUUCGUUAAAACAUGAUGCAAUGAAACAUAACAUUGACACCUGAGUUUCAAGAGAGCUUUUGAAUGCAGGGCUGAUAGUCGUGUGCUAAAAGUUGCCUGGCCAAAUGAUUUUCAGGGUGUCCAAUUCGGCUAAAAACUCUGAGACUGUUUGCAGAUUAAAAAGCGGUUCAUCGCUAAGAAAAAAUGCAGGGUGAAGGGGUGUAUUCUCGCGAUAUGCAGCAGGGAAAUACUUUUUCCUCUCUGUUUCUAUUGCAGGGCACUGAAUAAGAACAUGGAGGACUGUGAGGCUAUUGCUGCACUUAACACAAGUUGGAGGAUCGCCCCCAGUCAAGAGAUGAGAGACCUCUCAGGAAUGGAACCACCUUCCCAGCACAGUUGUUGCAAUCAAGGACAAUCAAGUUUCGUUCGGCCAUAUCAGACAUCGUCGCUCCUGGACACAAUUACCUAGUCAACUUUGCUGUGUUAACUAACCACUUUGCUGCUUUGUUAUUUACUUAUGUAUAUCUUUUUUACCCACUCCCCUCUGUAAUACUUCAGUCUUGAGGGUACAAUAAAAUAAAUAAUGAACUUC